UACGUAGGGCGCAAGCGUUGUCCGGAAUUAUUGGGCGUAAAGAGCUCGUAGGUGGCGUGUCGCGUCUGCCGUGAAAGCCCAUGGCUUAACUGUGGGUCUGCGGUGGAUACGGGCAGGCUAGAGGCUGGUAGGGGCAAGCGGAAUUCCUGGUGUAGCGGUGAAAUGCGCAGAUAUCAGGAGGAACACCGGUGGCGAAGGCGACUACCUGGCCUGUUCUUGACGCUGAGGCGCGAAAGCUAGGGGAGCAAACGGG
rnacentral:rRNA from 1 species